rnacentral:rRNA from 1 species
GCCCUCUUUUAGAGGGAGUGGCGCACGGGUGCGUAACGCGUGGGAACCUGCCCUUAGGUUCGGAAUAACUCAGAGAAAUUUGAGCUAAUACCGGAUAAUGUCUUCGGACCAAAGAUUUAUCGCCUUUGGAUGGGCCCGCGUAGGAUUAGAUAGUUGGUGGGGUAAUGGCCUACCAAGUCGACGAUCCUUAGCUGGUCUGAGAGGAUGAUCAGCCACACUGGGACUGAGACACGGCCCAGACUCCUACGGGAGGCAGCAGUGGGGAAUAUUGGACAAUGGGCGAAAGCCUGAUCCAGCAAUGCCGCGUGAGUGAUGAAGGCCUUAGGGUUGUAAAGCUCUUUUACCAGGGAUGAUAAUGACAGUACCUGGAGAAUAAGCUCCGGCUAACUCCGUGCCAGCAGCCGCGGUAAUACGGAGGGAGCUAGCGUUGUUCGGAAUUACUGGGCGUAAAGCGCACGUAGGCGGCUUUUCAAGUCAGGGGUGAAAUCCCGGGGCUCAACCCCGGAACUGCCCUUGAAACUGGAUGGCUAGAAUACUGGAGAGGUGAGUG